AAGACCUUGCGCUUUUGGAGCGGCCGAUGUCUGAUUAGCUAGUUGGUGGGGUAAUGGCCUACCAAAGCUUCGAUCAGUAGCUGGUCUGAGAGGACGGCCAGCCACACUGGGACUGAGACACGGCCCAGACUCCUACGGGAGGCAGCAGUGGGGAAUUUUGGACAAUGGGCGCAAGCCUGAUCCAGCCAUGCCGCGUGAGUGAAGAAGGCCUUCGGGUUGUAAAGCUCUUUCAGCCGGGAAGAAAAGACUGCGACUAAUAAUCGCAGUUCAUGACGGUACCGGAAGAAGAAGCACCGGCUAACUACGUGCCAGCAGCCGCGGUAAUACGUAGGGUGCGAGCGUUAAUCGGAAUUACUGGGCGUAAAGGGUGCGCAGGCGGUUUUGUAAGUCAGAUGUGAAAUCCCCGGGCUUAACCUGGGAAACU
rnacentral:rRNA from 1 species